UUUAGCUCAUUAGAAUAGAACAUGUUUAUAAUAGAAUAGCCUUUCGUUAACUUAAAGGCAUAGAUGUUAAGGUAAGAUGUGUGUUUCAAUCCUUGGUUGGCUGUGUAACUAGCCCUGUAAACUGCUUUCCAUUAAUUGAUAAUGCUAGAUCAAGGCUACCCUAGUACAAAUGGUUUCUCAUUAUCAGCUUCUUACUGCUUUCUGACUAUUUUUCCCGCGUCACGUUAAUGUCUUUAUGUGUUUCAACAGUGAUUCAGAAUGUUACUCACAGAGCUUCAAUUAAAUCUCCAGAUAGGACUCCGUUGGGAGGAACAAUAGUAGUCCAUCUUAUUGUUCCAGGUCUUAAUGAAACCACCAUAAAACUUCCCGCAUCCAUAAUGCUUGAGAUCUCUGAUGCAAUCAAGACACAACUGGCUAAGAAUGAAACCCUGGCAUUACCUGCUGAAUCUAAAACACCAGAAGUAGAAAAAAUUCCAGCGCAGCCCGUAACAGUUCUCAGCGAAAGGACCCCAGAAACGUCAGGAACUAUUCUAAUACCUACGUUUGAAUUGCCACUGAGCACUCUAGGUAAACAGCACUCAACACUGCAGCUUUAUUAUCACCUUGGGAAUUUUACGCAUGCUCGAAAGAAGUCCUUAAGCUAAUU